CAUAUGUACGUCUCUAAACUUUCUUAUGAUUCUUUCUGUUAUUUUGUUCUCACUAUUCGUAACUACAUCUAAAUGGCAAACACCUUUCUAAAUCAUGUUCUCUUAUUUAUUGUUGCGGAAACAAAUGAUUCCUAAAUACAUCUAUAUUUUAAAUUUUUAUCUAAUCCGUUUAUUCUUAUUAUAUUGAAGGGUAACAAGAUUCAUGCAUCAUGUAAGAAGACAUACUUUGAUCGUUUGGAGAAUAAAGUACCUGUUGGUGCUUGGAGAAACAUUGACAAUUUCUUGGUGACUAAUAAUGGCGGUAGUUACAAGACUACAAAUCACCAUUACAAGAUUGUCUUCAUUCCCACCACUGACAUCACUCCUUCAACACUGCAAGAGGAAAACAUGUUCCUUAGUUUGGUUGACUUUGAAAGCAUUCAAAGUGGAAAACUUGAUACAACCAACUUAAUUGAUGUUAUUGGACAAGUGUUUGAGUUGGGAGAUCUGGAAACUGUGCAGUGUCACGGUAAAGAAAGAAAGAAAAUCGAGUUCAGCUUGAGAGACAUCAGGUAAUAUAUUAAUUUAUGUAUUUCUUAUAUCAUAUAUUUUUUUAAGCUAUUAAUAUAUGUUUUCAACAGUGAUCAAAAGAUACCUUGCUGCCUUUGGGGAAAGUUUGCUGAAGCAAUACACAGUUUCAGCCAACAAUCUGAAGAAGAAAUUGUUGUAUGCCUAAUACGUUUUGCUAAAAUCGGGACCUAUCGAAGUAAUCUCAUAUCAUUUUCUUUUUAUAUAAAAUAAUACCGUGUUUAUUAUUUUUCUUGAAUAAGAGCGUUACUGAUUUUUUAUUACUAUUGAUAAUAUGCAGACCAGGUUCAGAUAUCCAAUGCGUUUGAUGCAUCUCAGGUCGUUUUCAACCCACCAAUAAAGGAGACAGAUGAGUUUAUGAAAAGGUUUUGAUAACAGAUUAAUAAAUUAGAUAAAGCUCAAGGAAUAUUAUGACAAAUCUAUGUUAAUUUAUGUUUUUACAGGGUUGAACCGUCCAAUGCUUUGACAACAUUUCAAUCUGAAAAAGACAAAAUUGAGAGGGAAUUAAGACGUGAUAAGUGGUUGCUUUUCCCUCAGAAAGACAUUGCAGAGCUUCUUGCAUCAUCUCACAAAUGCACAGUUAUGCAAUUUGACAUAUGUAAUAUAGUUAUCAAAAAUUAUAUUAAAGUAACAUUUAACACAAAUAUGAUUAAAACAACACAAACAUAAAAUUAAAAUUAAAAAUAAAAUAAAACAAAAAUAUACCCGCCCUUGGAAGGGCGGGUCAGAAUCUAGUGGAAUGUUAAAGGGGAAUAAAUGGGGAGAGAGAGAGAGAGAGAGAGAGAGAGAGAGAGAGAGAGAGAGAGAGAGAGAGAGAGAGAGAGAGAGAGAGAGAGAGAGAGAGAGAGAGAGAGAGAGAGAGAGAGGAGAGAGAGAGAGAGAGAGAGAGAGAGAGAGAGAGAGAGAGAGAGAGAGAUUACGGAGAAUUUACUAAAUAAGAUUUGCCAAACUUGCUUGUUCUCCAAAUUACCAUGUAGUAAUGGAUUUUGUGGAGGAACUGAAAUCUCACCAUGUAGUAAUGGAUUUUGUGGAGGAACUGAAAUAUCAUCAUCAUCGAUAGAUCUUGCAACCUACCACCAAUCUAGGAACUAAAAGUAGAGUUAGCUAUAGGAAUAAAAAAAGUUCCGGUUUUACAGUAUUUUCUUUAUAGUGUAAAAUUUGGUGUACGAUUAUAAAUGAUUUUGCUAUAUAAAUAACGUUUAAAGAAAUUAUAGUAAUAUAAGAGACACCCUAAAUUUUAACUUGGUAUAGUUGUUGAUUAGAUGAUCAGAUUAGUUCAACCGAUUCACAUUAUAUUUCAUUUUCAAAAAUAUCUUUUAGUUUAAGUUAACUUUUAAAAUAACAAAGUCAUAUUUUUUUUUUACUAUUCCAGUAAAAAAAUAUAGAUAACUGAUAAAAUAAAUUUUUAUCAAACUAUAUGUUGAACUUGAUGAACCCAGCUUUUAUACUGACCCAAAUAACCAGUUUUGGUUGGUUUUGCUGGUUUAAUUCAAAUUUCGGUCUUAAACCAACUCGGAUUUAGUUUAUUUAACAGUCAAGGUAGGAUGGAGGUUUAGUUUGAAAACAUUGUCUAAAUCAUAUCUAAAAUGAGAAAAAGAUCAAACAAAUAUUCAGUUUAUACAGUUUCUCUGAGAAAAGUACAAUACUCUACUAAACUUAUGAGAUCGAGCCAAAUUAGAUAUAAAUUUAGUGAAUAUUAUUUUUUUACUUAACAAGCAUUUAUUUUUAAUAGAAAUCAAAUCGAUGUAGUUUCAAUAAAAUAAGAAAAAGCAACAAAAAUCACAGUAACAAUAUUGAACUUACACAAUGUAGCCAUAAGAAAGCACAAACACAUAAUUGAUCCAAAAAUAUAUAUAUUCUUGUUUUGGAUGAGACAGUGAUUGGUUCAGAUUAGUUUUUCCAGGUUUUCAGGUUUAUAAUGUUAGAUAUAAAUUUAGUCGACAUUGAUUUUAACUUAAUUGUCAAUUAUUUUAACGUGAUUAGAAAUCUUAGCAACCCAUUUAUAUUGGGGGAAGUUUUCCAAGUUCAACGUCUUAAGCUCCAUUUGGAUAGAAUUCAGUGCAUGUUAGGUUUGAUUAAUAACACUUGGGGUUCAUAUAUAAUUUUUACUCAUUCCAAAAAUCAUAAUGUAACUCAUUCCAAAAUUCAUAGUGUAACCAUACUAAUUUUUAGAUAAUAUGAAAUUAAGUAUUUGAGUAUACUCAUUUAGAUUUCAAAAGCUUAUUUCAAAAAAUAAUUUGGAUCUUCAUAUCAGGUUAUUUAAAAAAAAAUCAGGUUUCAAUUCUAGGUAACCUAUAUGGAUUCUGUUAAUAAUACCUCCAUUUUCAAAUGUGUUUUAUAUCAUCCUACAAGAUUCUUUCAGGUAUUUUUACAUCUUGGAUCAGGUACAAAUUCAUUUCUUUUAGUUUGGUUUGGUUUUUCUUUUCUUUUUAAUGUAAAUUUUGUCGGUUUUUCAUUUUUUUUAAACGAUGAAAUUUUUAUUUAUUUUAAAGAUUAACGUUAAAUGAAAAUUCAUAUUGACUACAUAUAUAUAUAUAUUUGGCUUGAUCAACACAAGUUUAUUAAAAUUUCAGAUUAAUGAAGUGUUUUGUGGUUAUUUUGGGAAAACUCUAAAAUUCAAUAUAUUUUUUAUAAUAUUUUCUCUAUCUAUAAUAAAUUGUAGGAACAAAUUUAGCAGCAGUAACAUAAAUAUCUUCGUUUUUUACCUUCUGAAUUUCAUCAAAAUUUUAUGUCCAAAAGCUCCCUAAGAACCUUCCCACCGAAGGAACCGUUAGAAGAACCGGCUUUCAUUGACAAAGAGUUCAACGAUCCAUGAAUGAUGUCCAUUAGUCACAUAAGAGUGAACCAAUAUUUGUAUUGUUACACUUUGAGCAAUGAAAGACGCUCAUCUAUUCUCUUCAAAUUUAACCGCCAUGAGCUGAUACUCCCCCAUCAAGUUUAGCUUCAGCUUAAUAUCCUCACCAUGAUGCCUAAACGCAGGCUAAUCAUGAGGUUUUCCUAUUGCACAAAACAUCUCUUUAAAAUCACCAGCAAAAAUAAUUUUAUUGAGAUGCAAGCUGAUCAUGCUCUUCAUUGGCCAUAGAACUUUUUUUAACCUAGCCUCAUACUUUCUGAGAACAUUUGAGAAAGCUCGCCUACUAUGGAUUAGAAAAACACCGCUAUGAUUCCGAACCACCCAAGCUGUCCCCAGUAGUCUCUUAUCCUUGUCCCAAUAAAAUGCCACAUUACACAUCAACCACCCUUGAUGUGGAAGUCUCCAAUGACUUAUGUUUUGAUCCUUUAUUUUAUCCACUUCGUUUGACACUUCUCUCUCCACUAACUGAGCUAAGAACCAUUCUACUGAUUCAUUUUUGGCCUUAAUUUGAAUCUCCAUUGAUGACCAUAUUUUGCCAUUAAACAAGAAAUCAUAUUUACUCUUCCAUAUAAACCACAACAGCCACAGCCAAGCUCUUUUGUCAUCCAUCUUCUCAACGACGACAUAUUUUAAAUUUAAAAGGUAGUUGAUGUUAGUGAAGACGUUGGCUUCCUGAAAACCAUUUUCUGGUUGAGGAAUUCCAGAGAGAGCCCAAACCUGUCUUUUUUCUGAGCAUUUAAAAAGCGUGUGAUGAAUUGAUUCUCCAUCCAGUCCACACAACUGACAUCUUUCAUCCACCUUCAUUCCUUUAGCACUAAUUAAGUCCGAAACAGGCAGUGCGUCACUCAGCAUUUUCCAUACGAAAAUUCUGAUGCUGGGAGCCGUAUGUAUCUUCCACACCUUCUCAUUUAUAAUGUUCAGAGAAGGAAGAGCAAGAACUUCAGACUAAUAAGUUUAAAUCUUCGAUUCACGAGCCAGCCAGCAAGCGGAUUUCACUGACAGAUUACCAAUUCUAUUAUGUUUCCAGGACAAGGAAUCCACUCGAGAAAUAACCGGCUGCUUGGCUAUGAUCAUUUUGAUGUCACCUGGAAAAAAAAAAUUCCUGAAGCGCCUGAAUAUUACAUAUUCUUAUAGUAGAGUCAAUGAGUGAACUAGCCAUCAGAUUCAAAUCAAAUAGAUAAUUCUGAAUCCAAGGCUUUCUCAUGCCUAGAUCAGGGUCCUCCACCCACUUAUCAUUCUACACACUCGUGUUUGACUAUUCCCUACCUACAAUUUUAGCCUUUUUGGAGUAAUUCUCUAUCGAAGAUGAGGCUUCUCCAUGCGAAGGACGGUCUUUCACCUUCCGAAGCUGUCUAUAACUCAUAAUGAAGGUAGUGUCUACUCUUUGUAAAUAUUGCCAAGAAACACUCAAGUUGGUUAAUGAGUUUCCACCCUUGCUUUUCCAAUAAAACUUAGUUGAAGCUUUCAAGAUCUUUGAAUCCCGCUCCUCCUAAAUUCUUUGGUAAACACAAUAUUUCCCGUGAGACCCUAUAUAUCUUUUUGUGGUGAGAUUUUGAACUCCACCAGUAGUUUUCUAUCAAGCUAGAGAGUUUGGCAAUGAUAGUUUUGGGAAAUCUGAAACAGGACAUGGCGAAGACAGGGAGAGCUGAUGCCGUUUUUUCAAGAGAAUAUCCUUACCUCCCUGCGAUAACUUGUGUAAACAAGCUAUCCAAACGACAUUGAGUAUGAUAUUUAAGGUACGAUAGCAAUUCCGCUUUUGAUUCUGAGAACCAUUCACGGAGUCCUAGGUAUUUAUUGGUUCCACUUUCAUUAUACCUUCAUUAUACCUAUAAUGGCAUGUAGUUCAGCUUGCUCGUUUGCAAGAAUCAACUCUCUGAAGUUAUAGAAUUUCCGUAAGUUAAUGCACUGCCAUGUUGCUUCUCCAUAAAUCUUCAGAAUCCUUUGGACAUUCUUGCAUUGUGCUACUGAAUCUUUGCAGAGACACAUGCUCUAAUUAGAGAAGAAUAAAUUUUGAACAGAAGGACCUGAUUUCGAAAAACUCAUUCCACUCAAAAUAUUAGUUCUUUCAGCCAUGUUCAACAUGUAUGAUAGGCCUUAUGUGCAGAAAAAGAAGAGGAACGGAGACAAAGGGUCUCCUUGGCGAAUACUUCUUCUCGGUGAUAUUAGACCAAACGGCUGGUCAUUAAUUAGAACAGUAAAGGAGGCUGAAGACACACACAUCAUUAUCCAAGUAAUCGUCUGCUAAUCGAAUCCUAAAUCCUUCAUCGGAGCUCUCAAAUAACUCCAUUCCACACGGUCAUAUGCCUUAGACAUAUCAAUUUUCACCGCCAUAAACUCCUAUGCCACCAGUGAAUGGGUUUUAAGAGCAUGAACUGCCUUGUGGGAUAUUAAGAUGUUAUCAUGACUCAACCUUUCACUGAUGAAGGCCGAUUGAUUAACUGAGACAAACUCAUUUAAGAAUGGUUGCAAUCGCUUAAACAAACUUCGACACUGUUUUAUACAACACCUAGCAUAUAGUAAUAGGUCUUAAGUCUGUCAUGUUUUCUGGGUUUCGUAUCUUGGGAAGCAAGUACAAGUAAGUAAAGUUCCACUCAUCUGGUAAAGUCACCUUUUCGAAAACAUCUUAAAAUCUCUUUUGUUACAGUCUUUCCAAUGGUGGGCCAAAACUUUUAAAAGAAAAGCCUUGCCAUGCCGCCUCGGCCUGAGCACUCUUUUCUUUAACGGAAAAGAUAGUGUCUUUUACUUCUUCCUUAGAGACCUCACACGUUAGACGCUUAUUCAUAACCCGAAAACUUCAGUCUCGUACUCUAAAAUAUAGGUUCAUAAGGAGGGUUCGAGGUUGCGAAGAACUUCUAGAAAUACUCAAUGGCCACUUCCACCUUCGCAGCAGCCGACCAUUUGUUAUGGCCAUUCUUAUCUUUGAGUUUAAAUGGAGUCUUGAUCUGUUUGCCUCGACUGAGGAGUAAAAAUUUUUACAAUUUCUAUCACUAAACUUGAGCCGUUUCUCUCUACAUUUUCGCCUCUUACACAUCUCCUCUUCCUUGUAAUCAGCUCUUUUUAUGCUUGAUAUAUUAAAGAUUUUACCCACUUUUAGCCAUGAUAUAAGUGUUUUAGGAUAUAAUUAUUCUGUUUUAGAGUCUUUUUAGCAUAUUUACAGGUUCAAGAGUGUUUUGGAAGAAAAUGCUUAUUUUGGUGCAUUUAGAGAUAAAAUAAGAGGAAACCCGUAGCUGACCAUUGAACCAGUCCGGAGGUCAAUUUUCGGAGACAAACAUCGAUCGAUGCACAUCAUGUACCGUCGAUCAACAGCAAAGCGCGCAAAACCCGACUAGGUUUCUACCCGACUUAAAUCCCAAGUCACACACAUUUACAGAAAUACCCCUAGCCGAUUUUAACUUGAUAUUUAUGUGCUAUGCCUGUUCUAGGCAACACAAGCUUUUCAUAAUUUUUACUUUUCACAGCAAAUAAUACUUAGGGUUUUUAGUAGUUUGGAGAGAUGAUUCAAGAAUCCUUCAGAGAUUUGUAUUGGAACUCUAGUAUUUCUAAUUUUAUUAAGUUUAUGUAAUUUAUUCAGUUAUCUAUUAUGAUUUACUUUGCUAUGUCUGAGUAAUUCAUCUGUUAGAUUUAGGGUUCAAAUAGGUUAUGAGGGAUUUUCCCAAAAUAUAGAAUUGCUAAGGUGAUAAAUAUCCUUCAAGGAAAUGUUGUUAAUGCUUGUGUUCUAGAGUAGCAAACUAGAACCUUGACUUAGGAUUGUGGACAACUACGACGGUAGGUUCUGCACUAGAGCCUAUGCAAGUUGAUAAGGCUAUUGAAAGAAGGACCUUAAGGAGAAGGAAGGAAAAGGUUUCUAAGCAUCUUAAGAGAGGAGGCAAUGACAAAGAGAUGGAUAGUUUUACAGAGAGGAUUGUAUCCCAAUGGACAAGCCAUUUGAGGAGGCUUACUUUACCCACAAGUUGUGGAUGUUCUUCAGAGAGACUAAGAGACUGAAUAAGACAUUAGGAGAAUGUUCCACUAUGUCAGAGAAGAUGAGGCAGAGGAUUACACUGAAGAAGAAGAGUGAUCCAAGAAAGUUUGUAGUAGCAUGCUUGAUAGGAGGCAUUGAUUACCCUAGUGCGCUCUGCAACACAGGUUCUUCAGUCAACAUUCUACCAAAGGUGAUGGCAGACCAUCUAGGUCUGAAGAUAGAGUCUUCAGAGGAUUCAUUCACUUUUGUGGACUGUUUUCAGAGGAACUCAGGAGGAAUCAUCAGAAACCUUGAAGUGCAUAUUGGUAAUGUCCUAAUUCCAAUAGACUUUCAUGUCCUGGACAUCAAGCUCAACUGGAAUUCUUCUCUACUACUUGGGAGAGCCUUCAUGGCUACUGUAGGAGUAGUUUGCGACAUGCAGACCAACAAGUUGUGUCUGACACUUGUAGACCCUACUAUCUAUUAUGAUCCAGUGUCAAGACACAGACGGGAUACAUGGAGAUUGGAGAUGAUCCAGGAUUAAUUACAGUUUGUUACUGCGACCCAGAAGCUGAAGUUGAAUCGGACCAUGAAACAUCGAUCGACACUCAACCUGAAGCGUCGCUCGACAAGAAGACUGAAGCGACGAUCGACAAAGCCUUGGAAGCGCCGAUCGACAGUCACUCUGCGAACGAGAUAGACGACUUUCCAAAAGGUUCUAUCAACAGAUGGGAGAAUAAUUACUACCAACCUAGCUUCGCAAUUCAGACAGCUACACCUUCCAAAGGAAGAUUAGUGAAAAGGAGCAUGAUUAGUACGAUGAGGACUACAGAGAAGAGGAGAUCAUUGAGUAUUGUGUCCUUACCAUGGAAGAGGCAAGAGUUCUCAAGACUUCCCAUGAGACCAGGGUAGAGACAUCGAUCGACGGAAACCACAAACCAUCAAUCGAUGCUUAUCACGAGACAGAGUCAGAUGCAAGAGCAAAAGAUGAUGCAGAUUUUGGUUACCUCAGACCAAAUGAGUGGUAUUUUCAGAGAUUCAGAAGGACAAGCAUGUGCUCUGGAUUCACGAGUUAUACACAUCUCUAAAGACGUUGCUGAAAUUCUUGCAAAGGCUAGUGGAACAUGAAACCUUUUCAGCCAGCAAGACAAAAGAGAGGAUCCAGCAUCAAUCGAUAGGACAUGUCAACCAUCGAUCGACAGUCUUUACGAGUAUGGACAGAGAGCUUAUAAUCAUAGCGGCAGCAGAAGAUUCCAAUGGGAACAAAGAGAUGAAUACUGAAUAUACAGAGACGAGCAUGGAAAUGCUCGAUCUGUAGAAGGCAGAAUCAUUCAUGUGUCAAGGGAAGACAUCAGGGAGAUUUUGGAAAGAGCUGCAAUGGAUGGAUACACUCAUAUAUGUCUACCAAAAUAUGCAGAGAAAUUAACCAGAACCAUGCCAAAGCCAGACACUUACAACAGAGCAGAGAUUGAUGACAUGGUACAUGGGAACUACAGAGCCCAGGAGAUGUCAAUGAAUGACUACUACAGGAGACUCAAUGAAGUCUACUACCCAAUCAACAAAAAUAUUACCAGGUUGACUACACACAUGAAUGAGCUGAAAGAGGAGAUAGACAUAAUUCGGAGACAGAUUGAGAUCCGAGCAAAAGAAUAUCCAUCGAUCGACGAUCACACUCGACCAUCGAUGGACGCCAACAACGCAUCUUUCAGAGAAAGGCUGGUAACAGUGAAGUUGUUAGAAGACAAGCUUGAUGAGAUUAAUUUUUUUUCAAACUUGCUCAAGGAGGAGAUUUCCCUGAGAGUUGAGGACAUCUUAGAAACAACACAUGUCACACUUAGAAUGCACCAGGGCUGUAUUGGACAUCUUGAGAAAAGGAUGCAUGCUAAUGAGGUUGCUAAGGAGAUAAUGAAAAACCAGUGAAAAUAGGAGAUGAAGCCAUAAGAAGCUUCAUAUAUACAUGGUUUCAGAUGAGCAGAGAAGAUAUAGAUACUUUUUUUCCAACAAUUAGUCACUUACCUCCAUACUAGCCAAACAACCUCCAGAGAGUCAAGUUAAAUGACUAUAACAAAGCACUUAAUGGGAGGCAACCCAUUGGUAAGAUUUACUUAGUUUUAUUUUGAAUAUAUUACUGAAUUUUUCGUAUUUAAUUUAUCGCAGGUUAUAUAUAUAUACCAAGGAGACGAGUCCUCAGCACAUCCACCGAGGGGACCUAGUCGACAUGGAUCGAUAGUACUACACCGACAACGAUCAACAAACACUUUCUUGUGUCGAUCAACACUAAUAUCAUCGGGCAGGUAUAUUGUUCUUCCUUUUUGCAUUAUGUACUUAUGAUUUAUGUUCUCACCAAACUUCGACUAGAUACACACUGGGGACAAUGUUAUUUUAGUUUGGAGGGGAGGUUUACUGAUAUUUAGUUUAUCUAUGAGUUUUAUAAAAAGUUCUCAAAAAAAUUUCAUUGAGUCAAUAAGGGGACAAUGAACUUUUUCAAUUUCACUUAUUAUCUAACCAUUGUCUAGCACCACUCUUAGAUUUAUUGACUGCAUAGUGUAUUAUAGAUACUAAAGUGACCUGCCAAAUAUUCACACUUGCUGAGAAUGUUUGAAGGAACCAAAGCUGACCUCAAACCUAAUGAGCCUAAUCUUCUUGUCUUGGGGCUUAGUAUACAAUAGAUCGGAAUCCUCAUGCAAGCCAGGAAGGUCAAAUUCUGUGUGUUUCUGAUUCCCUUCUCUCUCUCUCUCUUUGGCAUCCAUAAGAAUAAAAGAUUGAAAUGAUUUCCUGCGGUUUGGAAGGGUAAGAGUGUCUCAUGCGUCCCCAUUAUUCUCUCUAAUGGAAUUAUCACACACAGUUGGAAGUGAGGGGUAGGAGUGUCUCUUGUGACCCCAUUAUUCGCCUACCCUUUUCAAAGAAAAAAGGAAGAGAAAAAUAGAUGAAUAAGAUGGACUGUAUCAGCAUCAUUGUUCAUUGGAAUUGAGAUUCAGAGAAGAGGGAAAGAGGGAAGAAAGAGAUCAAAUAAGACUACAUGUGUGUUCAGAAACUUGCUUGAGUAAGAGUCCAUGCGUCUUUUGUAUACUUCCAAGGUAAAGCCUACACUUUUAUAUAUGUAAUAAAAGAGGUCAGUAGAGGGGUUAGUCAGACAAUAUUAGCUAAUUUGCUGGUUAGAUAGAUUUGGUUGCUAAGUUAAGAUAAGGUAUAUAGAAUAUCUCUAAAGUUGGAAUUGAUUUGAUUUGGCCUGCAACAUAGUAGAGGUGAUGAUAGUGAGUUCUUAAAUUGUGUGAGUCUCUGCUGUUUUCAAACCUCUUUCAUAAAGACUACUCUAUGUUUUGCUUGAGGACAAGCAAAAGGGUAAGUCUGGCAGAGUUGAUAUACCAUGGAUUUUACCCACUUUUAGCCAUGGUAUAUAAGUGUUUUAUGGUAUAAUUAUUUUGUUUUGAAGUAUUUUUAGCAUAAUUACAGGUUCAUGAGUGUUUUGGAGGAAAGUGGUGAUUUUGGUGCAUUUUAUAGAUAAAAUGAGAGGAAGUCCCGUAACUCACUAUCGAACCAGUCCGGAGGUCAACAUUCAGAGACAAACAUCGAUCGAUGUACAUCAUGUGCCGUCGACCGACAGCGAAGCGCGAAAGACCCGACUAGGUUUCCAGCCGACUUAAAUCUCAAGUCACACACAUUUACAUAAAUACCCCUGGCCGAUUUUAACCUAAUAUUUAUGUGCUAAGUCAUUGUUCUAGGAGACACACGCUUUUUUAUACAUUCUACUUUUCACAGCAAACAAUACUUAGGGUUUUUAGUAGUUUGGAUAGAAGAUGCAAGACUCCUUAAGAUAUUUGUAUUGGAACUCCAGUAUUUCUAAUUCUAUUAUAUUUAUGCAAUUUAUUCAGUUAUCUAUUAUGAUUUACUUUGCUAUGUCUGAGUAAUUCAUCUGUUAGAUUUAGAGUUCAAAUAGGUUAUGAGGGAUUAGCCCAAAAUAGGCUAGGAUUGUUUAGAAACAAACGCUGAUCUAUACAUUACUAGCGAACCUAUCGAUCAACUCAUUAAAGCCCGUCUAAGGAAACAUCGAUCGACGCUAAUCUCAUAGCAUCGAUCGACAUUCGAUCUGUAUCAACAAGCAGAAGCAGAGAUAUUGGACUUAGUCAAAACAUAAGACUCACAUGUGAAAGCUAGAUAUCCUUACACUAGAAUUCGAGUUCUAAGAUUGACAACAUAAGUAUUCUAUACAUCUAUAAUCUUGAUUACCUGAAUAAAAACCUUAGAUCUAGGGCUUUCUAAUAAUUGUUUACAAACCUCAAACCAAUCAACUGCGCAACUGCCUUGUUCGCCUUGUUUGCUUAUUUACUGAUUUCAUAAUUUAUCUAACUUAAUCACUGCUGAUUAGGAUAUACUGUGUAUCUUAACUCUUUGUGGAUUCGAGUCCUAAAUACUACAACUGAACCUCUUAUUUGAGAGAGUAAAAAUUACUACUUAAGGUAAUUUGAGUAAUAUCAAUAUUGUUUAUAACGAAUCAACACGGAUAAGAUUUUGAUUGAAAU